CUUUGAUGGCAUGCACUGCUCUCUCACUCAAUAAUAAUAAUAAUAAUAAUAAUAAUGAUAAUGAUAAUAAUAAUAAUAAAAAAGUAUGUGACUUCUUUCGUUUUUGUUGGCAUUUGAAACUUUUUCUUUUUUGGAAAAGGAACAAACUUAUUGCUCUCAAGACAAAAUUGAAAAUGUGCUCGCAGUUUUGACUGAUCAAAUAAAAAACUUCCCUGGAGCGUUUCCAAUGACCAGUUCAAAUGCAUACGCCAGGGCAAAAGGGCUACAAUCAUAUGUGCCAACUUGGGGAUUAAUUAUAGGAACUUGUUGAAUUGUAGUAAUAAUGUUUGUUUGUGGUGAGUACAACGUUGAUUUUGUGCCAUUAGUUUCUGCGAUACUGGCACGUUCAAACUGCCAUUAAUAUAAACAUCUCCGAUAAAAUUGGUCGACAAAACAAAAUGAUUGUUCCUGGUGUGAUGAAUGAACAGUGUACAGUGUGCAUUGUACGUUAGAAAUUCCAUGUGAGAAAAAAAAAUGGUUGUAUUGGAGUUUCAGGAAAAUUUUCUGUUACGAUUUUCAACCUGGCGUCAAUAAAUCCGUUUAUCACAUAACACUUGUCCUGAAAGUAAAAACGACUUCUCAUAUUUCAAAGCAAAUGUUCUUGACCAAAAUGUUCCCUUGCCCACUGGGCUCAGGGGAAUGGGAACUCAGCCUUUUCAGUUUCUUUUCUUUUUUUUUUUGUCUUCAGAACCGAAAUUUCCUUUUUUUCAAAGUUCAUCAAACAGUUACACAAAAAGUUCAAAUGAUUUCUAGAAGAACAUACCUGUUCAAGGACACUCGAAAUCACCUUAAUGUCUGCACCAAGUAAUAUUAAUUUUGAACGAUUCCAUUAUGUUAAAUGAAUUUCUCUUACCGAUCAGUUUAAACUUUUGAAGCAAUAAAUCAUCAGGCUGUGAUGCUCACAUUGGUAUAUUUCCUGUAAGACCAUCUGGUAUAACGUUUUCUAGUUUGCAUGUUUCCAGAAAUGGUAAAUGGCUUUGGAUUUUAGCACAAAAAAGCUGAAGUUUCUUAACUGA